CAAUAGCGUAUAUUAAAGUUGUUGCGGUUAAAAAGCUCGUAGUUGGAUUUCUGCCGAGGACGUCCGGUCCGCCCUCUGGGUGUGUACAUGGUACGGCCUGGGCAUCUUCUUGGAAAACGUAUCUGCACUUGACUGUGUGGUGCGGUAUCCAGGACUUUUACUUUGAGGAAAUUAGAGUGUUUCAAGCAGGCCUACGCCUUGAAUACAUUAGCAUGGAAUAAUAAGAUAGGACCUCGGUUCUAUUUUGUUGGUUUCUAGAGCUGAGGUAAUGAUUAAUAGGGAUAGUUGGGGGCAUUCGUAUUUAACUGUCAGAGGUGAAAUUCUUGGAUUUGUUAAAGACGGACUGCUGCGAAAGCAUUUGCCAAGGAUGUUUUCAUUGA
rnacentral:rRNA from 1 species